CUGAUAUGAAGAGCUUGCUCGGAUUUGAAGAUGAACAUUGCAAAGAGUGGCGAACGGGUGAGUAACACGUGGGAAACCUACCUCUUAGCGGGGGAUAACACUUGGAAACAAGUGCUAAUACCGCAUAAUACUGAUAACCGCAUGGUUAUCAGUUGAAAGAUGGUUCUGCUAUCACUAAGAGAUGGUCCCGCGGUGUAUUAGCUAGUUGGUAAGGUAAUGGCUUACCAAGGCAAUGAUACAUAGCCGAGUUGAGAGACUGAUCGGCCACAAUGGGACUGAGACACGGCCCAUACUCCUACGGGAGGCAGCAGUAGGGAAUCUUCCACAAUGGACGAAAGUCUGAUGGAGCAACGCCGCGUGUGUGAUGAAGGGUUUCGGCUCGUAAAACACUGUUGUAAGAGAAGAAUGACAUUGAGAGUAACUGUUCAGUGUGUGACGGUAUCUUACCAGAAAGGAACGGCUAAAUACGUGCCAGCAGCCGCGGUAAUACGUAUGUUCCAAGCGUUAUCCGGAUUUAUUGGGCGUAAAGCGAGCGCAGACGGUUGUUUAAGUCUGAAGUGAAAGCCCACAGCUUAACUGUGGAAGUGCUUUGGAAACUGGAUAACUUGAGUGCAGUAGAGGAGAGUGGAACUCCUGGGU
rnacentral:rRNA from 1 species